GAUGAACGCUGGCGGCGUGCCUAAUACAUGCAAGUCGAGCGGACGGACGAGAAGCUUGCUUCUCUGAUGUUAGCGGCGGACGGGUGAGUAACACGUGGAUAACCUACCUAUAAGACUGGGAUAACUUCGGGAAGCCGGAGCUAAUACCGGAUAAUAUUUUGAACCGCAUGGUUCAAAAGUGAAAGACGGUCUUGCUGUCACUUAUAGAUGGAUCCGCGCUGCAUUAGCUAGUUGGUAAGGUAACGGCUUACCAAGGCAACGAUGCAUAGCCGACCUGAGAGGGUGAUCGGCCACACUGGAACUGAGACACGGUCCAGACUCCUACGGGAGGCAGCAGUAGGGAAUCUUCCGCAAUGGGCGAAAGCCUGACGGAGCAACGCCGCGUGAGUGAUGAAGGUCUUCGGAUCGUAAAACUCUGUUAUUAGGGAAGAACAUAUGUGUAAGUAACUGUGCACAUCUUGACGGUACCUAAUCAGAAAGCCACGGCUAACUACGUG
rnacentral:rRNA from 1 species